AUCCAGCUGACGAGUCAAAAAUAGGAUGAAACGCGUGUCCUAGAU
rnacentral:hammerhead_ribozyme from 1 species